rnacentral:rRNA from 1 species
UACGUAGGUGGCAAGCGUUAUCCGGAUUUACUGGGUGUAAAGGGUGCGUAGGCUGUAAGGUAAGUCAGCGGUGAAAUGCCCCCGCUCAACGGGGUGAAGUGCCAUUGAUACUGCCUUGCUGGAAUGCGGAUGCCGUGGGAGGAAUGUGUGGUGUAGCGGUGAAAUGCAUAGAUAUCACACAGAACACCGAUUGCGAAGGCAGCAUGCCGGCUCCACACUGACGCUGAGGCACGAAAGCGUGGGUAUCGAACAGG